rnacentral:rRNA from 1 species
AUUGAACGCUGGCGGCAGGCUUAACACAUGCAAGUCGAGCGAGCGGCGGACGGGUGAGUAAUGUCUGGGAAACUGCCUGAUGGAGGGGGAUAACUACUGGAAACGGUAGCUAAUACCGCAUACCAUCAGAUGUUCCCAGAUGGGCUUAGCUAGUAGGUGGGGUAAUGGCUCACCAGGGCGACGAUCCCUAGCUGGUCUGAGAGGAUGACUACCCGAACUGGAACUAUUACACGGUCCAGACUCCGACGGGACGCAGCAGUGGGGAAUAGUGCACAAUGGGCUCAAGCCUGAUGCAGCCAUGCCGCGUGUGUGACGAAGGCCUUCGGGUUGUAAAGUACUUUCAGCGAGGAGGCGUUACUCGCAGAAGAAGCACCGGCUAACUCCGUGCCAGCCGCCGCGGUAAUAC